rnacentral:pre_miRNA from 1 species
ACGACCUUAUUUUGUCUUCAACAUAAUUUUAGAGAUGUUUAAGGCAUUUUAAGGUUGUUC